rnacentral:sRNA from 1 species
AUUAUAAAAGUAAAAGACAAGAAAGCAAUUAAAAUUGGUUGUAGAUUCAGAUGAUUAAGACGUCAGGUUUAGGGAAAUUCUCAGGAGAUAUCAGAAUAGUAGAUUUAGCAGUAAAU